ACAUUAUCAGUUCACAAAUAUUAUACUUCCUUAAUAUGUCAACGUAUAAGAAUCUACAAAGUUUUAGCAUAUGAACUGAAACUAAAUAUUUAUUAAAAUGAUGAUAAUUAAACAUUUCACUUCUUCUUGGUUAAUUACCAUAGUUUUUCUUAUAUCAGUACACAAAAUUAGGAUCAGAUGUCAGGACGACAAAAAUUUAAAAUUUCCAAAAGGUUUUCAAAUAGGAGCUGCAACAGCUGCUCAUCAAAUUGAAGGAGCCUGGAAUAUAAGCGAUAAAAGUGAAAGUGUUUGGGAUCAUUUUUCACAUAAACCAAAUUCGCCAAUUGAUGACAAAAGUACUGCAGAUGUGGCUUGUAAUUCAUAUAACUUGUAUAAAAAUGAUGUCAAACUGUUAAAAAACAUUGGAUUUGAUUUCUACCGAUUUUCAAUAAGUUGGGCUAGAAUUUUGCCAAAUGGAUUUGCAAAUUACAUUAGUAAAGAUGGUAUAAAAUACUACAAUGAUCUUCUUGAUGAAUUGCAUUCAAAGGGAAUCAAGCCAUAUGUGACAAUAUAUCAUUGGGAUCAUCCACAAGCACUCCAGAAAUUAGGAGGAUGGACCAAUGAAUUAAUGGUACAAUGGUUUACUGAUUACGCCAGAGUUGUAUUCAAAGAAUUUGGACCAAAAAUUAAAGUAUUCUUUACUAUUAACGAACCAUUUAUUCUUUGUAGCUUGGGUCAUGGAUACGGAGUUCAUGCACCUGGUAUUAAUUUGCCUGGAAUUGCUGAGUAUAUAUGCGGUCAUAACGUAUUAAAAGCACACGCUAGUGCUUAUCACUUGUAUAAUAAUGAAUUUCGCAAAAAACAAAAGGGAACCAUAGGAAUUGUCAACAUGUGUAAUUCUUAUUUUGCAAAAAAUAAGGAUCCUAAGUUAGAAGAUGAUGCAUUUCAAUUUACUUGCGGAUGGUUUUCUCAUCCAAUAUUUUCGAAAAAAGGAGACUAUCCACCAAUAAUGAAGAAACUGAUAAAAGAAAUUAGUCUUCGUAAAGGAUGGAGCAAGUCAACGUUACCAGUAUUUGACAAAAAAUGGAUCAACUACAUCAAGGGUUCAUCAGAUUUUUAUGGUCUAAAUCACUACUCCAGUGAAGUAGUUGAACGAAAAAUUAAUAACGGAAGCUAUAUAUGGGCUGAAUUUAACGCAUCCUUUACAUUAGACCCUAAAUGGAAAAUGGCGAAUAGUUUAUGGCUAGCGGUUGUUCCUGAAGGAUUCAGAAAGAUACUUAAGAAAAUAAAAAAAGAAUAUGGAAAUAUUCCAAUAUAUAUUACUGAAAAUGGAUAUUCAGAUGAUGGUGAAUUAAUGGAUGAAAAACGUGUGAAAUUUUAUUUUUUAUAUCUAAAAGAAAUGUUAAAAGCAAUUUACAAAGAUGGAUGUAAUGUACAACUUUAUACUGCUUGGAGUUUAUUGGACAAUUUUGAAUGGAAUAGAGGAUACAAGGAAAAAUUUGGAAUUAUUCAAGUUGAUUUCGAUAAACCAUCAAGGAAUCGAACAAUGAAAUCUUCUGCAAUUUGGUUUAAAAGUUUAUUACAACAUCGUAAACUAUCCUUGAAUUAUAAUUAAAAUAGAGAAAUUAUUAUUUAAAUAAUUAUGAAUAUACUGAACCUAAACUAAUUAUUGUAUAUGAUAAUGGAUAUCAUGAAAACGUCCUCAUUAUGUUCUGGGACACCUUACGAUUGUAAUUAGGACUAAAAUUAAAAACAACUUCUUGAAACGAUAAGAUUUUCUUAAAGCAUAUUACAAAGGAUUUUGAUUUAUUUGAAAAUUAGGAAAAUAUAGCUCGCGCUAAACUGCGAGUGAAAUUUUCUAUUGCCCUUAUCUUUGGGUGGAAAUAAGUAAAAUGUAUAUGAAGCAUUUCAUAUAUAAAAUUACCGAUACAGAAAUCUACCGUACCGACUGAUGAUAAAACAGUUUUUUGAAAAAUGAAAAUAUAAAUCAUCAGUCGGUAAUGUAGAUUUGAGGGACAAACGGCUACUUGAAAUUAUUAUAUGUAAUAAGUGAAAAUACAAUUUUUCAGCGUCGUUAGUGGAAAUUUGUUAACUUAAUAUA